UACGUAGGGGGCGAGCGUUGUCCGGAUUUAUUGGGCGUAAAGAGCGUGUAGGCGGCCAGGUAGGUCUGCUGUGAAAACUCGAGGCUCAACCUCGAGACGUCGGCGGAAACCAUCUGGCUAGAGUCCGGAAGAGGAGAGUGGAAUUCCUGGUGUAGCGGUGAAAUGCGCAGAUAUCAGGAGGAACACCGAUGGCGAAGGCAGAUCUCUGGGCCGUAACUGACGCUGAGACGCGAAAGCGUGGGGAGCGAACGGG
rnacentral:rRNA from 1 species